GGUGUAGCAUAGUGGUUUGUGUUGGACUAGGACUCUGGAGACCAGGGUUCAAAUCCUGGCUCAGCCA